rnacentral:rRNA from 1 species
GUUAAAACUCAAAUGAAUUGACGGGGGCCCGCACAAGCGGUGGAGCAUGUGGUUUAAUUCGAUGCAACGCGAAGAACCUUACCUGGUCUUGACAUCCACGGAAGUUUUCAGAGAUGAGAAUGUGCCUUCGGGAACCGUGAGACAGGUGCUGCAUGGCUGUCGUCAGCUCGUGUUGUGAAAUGUUGGGUUAAGUCCCGCAACGAGCGCAACCCUUAUCCUUUGUUGCCAGCGGUCCGGCCGGGAACUCAAAGGAGACUGCCAGUGAUAAACUGGAGGAAGGUGGGGAUGACGUCAAGUCAUCAUGGCCCUUACGACCAGGGCUACACACGUGCUACAAUGGCGCAUACAAAGAGAAGCAACCUCGCGAGAGCAAGCGGACCUCAUAAAGUGCGUCGUAGUCCGGAUUGGAGUCUGCAACUCGACUCCAUGAAGUCGGAAUCGCUAGUAAUCGUGGAUCAGAAUGCCACGGUGAAUACGUUCCCGGGCCUUGUACACACCGCCCGUCACACCAUGGGAGUGGGUUGCAAAAGAAGUAGGUAGCUUAACCUUCGGGAGGGCGCUUACCACUUUGUGAUUCAUGACUGGGGUGAAGUCGUAACAAGGUAACCGUAGGGGAACCUGCGGUUGGAUCACCUCCUUACCUUAAAGAAGC